rnacentral:rRNA from 1 species
GGUCUGGCGGCGAGUGGCGAACGGGUGAGUAAUGUAUCGGAACGUGCCCAGUAGCGGGGGAUAACUACUCGAAAGAGUAGCUAAUACCGCAUACGCCCUACGGGGGAAAGGGGGGGAUCUUAGGACCUCUCACUAUUGGAGCGGCCGAUAUCGGAUUAGCUAGUUGGUGGGGUAAAGGCUCACCAAGGCGACGAUCCGUAGCUGGUUUGAGAGGACGACCAGCCACACUGGGACUGAGACACGGCCCAGACUCCUACGGGAGGCAGCAGUGGGGAAUUUUGGACAAUGGGGGCAACCCUGAUCCAGCCAUCCCGCGUGUGCGAUGAAGGCCUUCGGGUUGUAAAGCACUUUUGGCAGGAAAGAAAUCGCACGGAGUAAUACUCUGUGUGGAUGACGGUACCUGCAGAAUAAGCACCGGCUAACUACGUGCCAGCAGCCGCGGUAAUACGUAGGGUGCAAGCGUUAAUCGGAAUUACUGGGCGUAAAGCGUGCGCAGGCGGUUCGAAAAGAAAGAUGUGAAAUCCCAGGGCUUAACCUUGGAACUGCAUUUUUAACUCUCGAACUAGAGUGCGUCAGAGGGGGGUGGAAUUCCGCGUGUAGCAGUGAAAUGCGUAGAUAUGCGGAGGAACACCGAUGGCGAAGGCAGCCCCCUGGGAUGACACUGACGCUCAUGCACGAAAGCGUGGGGAGCAAACAGGAU